rnacentral:tRNA from 1 species
UUCUAAUAUGGCAGAUUAGUGCAAUGGACUUAAACCCCAUAUAUAAAGUUUUCUUUUUUUAGAAA